UUGGUGGUUAUAGCAUGAGUGAAACACACGAUCCCAU
rnacentral:rRNA from 1 species